rnacentral:misc_RNA from 1 species
GCAAACUUGGUCAUUUAGAGGAAGUAAAAGUCGUAACAAGGUCUCCGUUGGUGAACCAGCGGAGGGAUCAUUAAUGAGUUAUUAAAACUCCAAACCCUAUGUGAACCUUACCGUCGUUGCCUCGGCGUGAGCUACGGCUACCCUGUAGUGCCUUGGAGCUACCCUGUAGUGCCUUGAGCUACCCUGUAGCCGACUUAUGGCCCGCCGAAGGACUGCUAAACUCUUGUUUUUUACUGCUGUUAUUCUGAAUUAUAAACUAAAAUAAGUUAAAACUUUCAACAACGGAUCUCUUGGUUCUGGCAUCGAUGAAGAACGCAGC